rnacentral:rRNA from 1 species
UACGGAGGGUGCAAGCGUUGUUCGGAUUUAUUGGGCGUAAAGCGCGUGUAGGCGGUUUCUUAAGUCUGAUGUGAAAGCCCUGGGCUCAACCCAGGGAAUGUCAGUUGAUACUGGGAGCUUGAAUCAGCGGAGAUGGUAGUAGACUCAGUGUAGGAGUGAAAUCGUAGAUAUUAGGAGGAACACCGGUGGCGAAGGCGGCCUACUGGAUCGGUACUGACGCUGAGGUGCGAAAGCGUGGGGAGCAAACAGG